UACAGAGGUCUCAAGCGUUGUUCGGAUUCAUUGGGCGUAAAGGGUGCGUAGGCGGCGCGGUAAGUCGGGUGUGAAAUCUCGGAGCUUAACUCCGAAACUGCAUUCGAUACUGCUGUGCUUGAGGACUGGAGAGGAGACUGGAAUUUACGGUGUAGCGGUGAAAUGCGUAGAUAUCGUAAGGAAGACCAGUGGCGAAGGCGGGUCUCUGGACAGUUCCUGACGCUGAGGAGCGAAAGCGUGGGGAGCGAACAGG
rnacentral:rRNA from 1 species